AAAAAUAAGGGAUAUGGAUUUGAAACUAAUAUGACAUGAAAAAAAAAUAUCACAUCAAUAAUUUUAAAUUAUCUUAAGCAAGAAAAAUAAAACGAACAUACAUCACAUUAUGACACCUCAGCUUUCUUUAGACAACAAAUUAAUGAAACUAGUUUUAAAAUACCCUGUCCUAUGAAAAAACAUUUACCACAUUUUUUGUAUUCAGAUACAGACUUCAUCAUUACUUUUUAUUUUCUACUGAAUUUUAUGGAUUAUUUAAUUCAAAAUCUUAAACUAUGUUAAUCAUUCAUAAAAAUGAUGUUCCUCUUUAUUUUUCUUUUGCAAAUUACAAAUAUACUAUUAAAUCACACUUCUGAUAUAAUUCACAAAUAAAUCAUAUCAAAAAUAUCUACAGGAUUCGUUUAUCUAUUCCAUUAGUUCAUGCAAGGGCCAUUAACUUGAAGCACAAGAAUUAGAAUGUACCAAGUUCUAAUGAAGAUGCUUGAAUGCAAUGAGACCUCCCAGCAAAUUCAGGCUGAGCAAUAUCAUUAGAGACAGAACCCACACCAGAGCUGCUAGCUUGAAAAUAGCUUUUCCUAACUGUAUUGCCCAACAUGAAAGCAAUCACGCUUGUAAGGAGACAAGAGUCAAUUGAAAGCAAGAAGACAGAAAAGCAAAGAAUGGCUUAUAUCACACACUACGCCUCAAAGGUGAAAAAUGCUUCAUCCAGGAUCUUCAAAUCACUCAACACGCCUCUAGACCUGAAUUCACUCGUUAUUCCAACAGUUGCAAAGCUCAUCAACAAGAAAAUAAGCAAUCUCAACUCCAAACCCCUAACUCUAGAAUAAUAAUAAAAAAAAAAGAACUGCAAAAUUCCACGCAAAAGGAGGUCGCACUCUAAUGAAAGACGAGUAAAGGUUGGAUGUAAUCCACAUUUACUCAGAAAUAACCAAAAAAAAACGUAAAAUAUGUUGCAAUAGGAUUAAAGAACUACAAAAAAAUCCAAAACUACUUAAGUUUUAUUGUCAACAUAAAACAAAGGAGUAAAAACUACGACUUGCACGAAAAUAAGUGAUCUCAAAAUAUAUACAAGAAGUAACUAUGAAUUCGUAAUCAAUGUGAAAGAGGCAACUCGUCUCCUCCCAUCGCUAUGGGGCAAUCUGCCCCGACCCACCACCAAAUCGUCACCAGGCGCCGCUGCCGGGGGCGACACACCGUGCCGGCCAUCGCGUGCAUCCCUUUCGCCGCACCACCAGGCUGUGCGCUGGGCCGUGCCUCAGUCAGAGAUUGCGUUCUCAUCGGCACAGUCAGAGACCGGGGUCAAACGUGCACCUCGCAAAAAUCCAACGCCCAUCGCCCCCCUCCUCCCUCGCGCAGGGAGGAGGUAGUGGCCCGAUCCGACUCGGGUGUGUGAUCGCCGUUCUUCCCCCCCGUGCGGGAGCAACGCUCACUGCCACAGCAGCUGCCCCGAGUGUUCACUGGACCAUCGAUCGGGAGGGCGGCGCAAGACUUUUGUCCAGGCGCAGGUGCGCGUGGUGCGAAUGUAUGCAGCAGCCGGCAGGUAAUGCCGAUGUAUGCAGCAGACCUCAGAUAAUGCGGGGGGUUUCUGGGAACUCACGACCGACACACUACUUCCAAAUCAUGAACGCACCCGUACCCAGUUUCCUCCGGUUUCGGCUUCCACUUUAGGCGGGGGCCGCGCGAACGCGAGCCCCCACUGCCACAAAUUACGACGUGUAUGCCCUCCGUAGAGAGAUACUAGAGCCGCCCGCCCCGUCAGUGCAAUGGGCCGGGCUCCUCUAGGCCAUCCACCUUCCUGAUCAUGGAUCGACCCCGCCCAGGUAAGUGCCCACUCCAGCGCUCCUCCGCACCCUUCUACCACCCACCCAUACCUCGCCGCUCCAACCCGUGUGGGACAUUCUCACCCACCCUCGCUCUCCUGCUCCCUCCGCCCCCCUCACCACGCCUUCACCUCCAUUUCUCACUCCCUCUCCCUCCCUGCUACAACCAACAUCUCACCUCAAAAUCACUCCAUUGCUCCCCGCCUCCCACAAACGCCAUACCCGCACCAUCGUACAACACUCGCUGGAAGCAGAAGCAGAACAAGCAGAAGAAUAAAGGAACAACCCACCAAACAAACACGCAAAUCAAUCAAUCGUUAAAUAAAGAAUGCUUUUUUCAAACCUUGCACUUGUUCACUCUUACAAAUCCACUUUUGGAACAAAGCAAAAAGGCUCUCAAUUCCAAAUGCCAUCCCAUCCAACACAUCCAUGCCCCUAGACUCAAACAUUUUCAACCCCCCUACCUAUUUCAACGUUACAUCAUGUCAAUUCUCAUGCUAUUCCACAGUUCUUGCACUGCGGCCUUCACAUCUGCACUCCACAACCUACCCUUGCACUUACAUUUUUUUUUAAUUUUUUUUAAUUUAUUAUAUAUAUAUAUUAUUUUAUUUAUCAUUAUUAUAAUCCAUGUCUGAAAAUUAAAAAAAAACAUAUACCAAUAGGCAAAUCAACAAAAUAAGCAAUAUCUCCCAUGAUUGUUUUUUUUUUUUUUUUUUUUUUUUUUUUUUGUUUCGUUUAGGGUAUAGGGCUGUUUUCCCUAUUAAUUGUAUGUACGUAUGUAUGUAUACACACUGUUAUGACACUCACUCACAUGAAUACACCCUAGGUAACAAAAUGCCACGUUUUCCCAUGUUUUGGGAUAUUUUGUUUGACCAUGAGUAGUAGCACCGGUAGAGCCCCCGUACCCUUUACAGUCUUGAAACGAAGAAAAUCACGGUAUUCAGCAUGGUUGAUUUGGUGUUGUGUGGUUGCAAAAUGCAAGAGAGCCUGGGGACGAUGGUGAUUCGGAGGGCGGGGGCUUUGAUUUGGUGGUGUGGCGAGUGUGAUGAUAUGUCGAAGUGGCAGUGUGAAUGGGUAAAUGCCCCAUAGUGUGUGCAGGCGGGAGGGCGGAGGUGGGGGUAGAAGAGGGGCGGGGCGGGAGGGGAGGGGCAUACCUUUCUCGGCCUUUUGGCUAAGAUCAAGUGUAGUAUCUGUUCUUAUCAGUUUAAUAUCUGAUACGAGGCUCAUCGAGCCUCACGAUAUUAAUCUAAUUUAUCUCGGGUGCGGGCCCAUCCGGCAGCUUGCUGCCCGGGCCAGCGCGCGUCGCCUUGGUCUUGCACUACCUCCUCGGCCGGCGCAGCCCAUUUCCCUCCGUUUCCCGGAGGGCCCCCCCCCUACAAUGCAAAGAGCGAAACUGGAAAGAGUGUGCGCGUGAGGGGACCCCCAACGUCGGCAGCGGGGCUGAGUGGAGGUGGCAACCAGUCGUGUCACGCUCCGCUGGUGCUGGUGCUGCUUGAUGCUUGAUCUGGAGGUGGAGGUGGAGGUGGAGUUGGAGUUGGAGUUGGACGCCACCUCAAAAGAAAACACAGACGGAGAAGAAGAAAAAGCAGCAGCAGAAGACGAAGAAAAACAAGAGGAAUGAAUAAUAAACACAAAAUGUCGAGAAAAAUGAAUAUAACCAAACUUGGUUACAUGUUUUUCAUGUUUUUUAUUUUUAUUUUUAUUUUUUCUUUCUGUGUUUGAUUUUAUUUGUUUUUGUUUUGUUUUGUUGUUCUUGUUGGGUUAUUGUUGUAUAAUUGUCUGAAAAAACUGUGGUCUUGAGUAUUGGUCGAAUUCUGUUCUGUGGUUUGUGGCGUAUGUUUGCUUGUUUAUUUAUUUAAAUUUAUUUUUCAGCAUUGCAGUUUCCGUUUCUUAUUUAUGAAAACUCGAUUUUGUUGUUUUGUUUAUUGUUGAUGUUGUUAUUAUUGUGUUUUUUGAAAUACACGUUUUCGUUCUUUAUCACAAAUGUUGCGCUGCUUAUUUCGAUGUACCAGUGUAUGCUUGUUAUCGAUUGAUUGACUGAUUGUUUUAUUGUGUUUUUGUUUUUGUUUUUGUUUUGUUUUGUUUGUUUGUUUUUAUUAUUUUAAUUUGUCUCUUUCUCUCAUAGCCUGCUGUCGUCGUUAUGGUCUUGAUGACGAUAACGAUGAUUAAUAGUUAUCUGUUUGUUUGAAAGAACAUAGCUUCAAAAUUCAAGAUAUCCCCUUCUCUCUUCACUCGCCUGUUUCUUAGAAUUGUGUUCAUCCAUUGAUUUGAGUGGAUUUGAGUGGUCAAUCUUAGGGGAGAUGGGGUGGUUUUGUGCAUCAAUGUUUUGAGGCAGGAACACACAUGGUUGACUCCAACAGCAACACACAGUGGUGGUGGGAAGUUGAGAGGGAUGCAGGAGGAUGCAGAUUGCACGUUGGGUUAGUGGGCGGAGAAGCGGCAGGGCAUGCGUCGGUCCCAUACGGUUGGGUGGAAGAAGGAGCAGGGCAUGCGUAGAAGAGCGUGGGUGAGAAGGCGGUGGAGGCAUGGGGCCGGGCGCUCAGCACAGAGCGAACUAUUCUUUCGCCUUUUACUAAAGAAUACCGUGCGCUGGGCGCAACGACCGGCAUAGCCAGAGUUUUUGGACUGCCCCGUUUGCGGGGCCCACCAAUUGGAAGCGCGAAACCGGAUUGUAUGGAGAACAGGGACAGGGCCUCCGUAUGACUUGUCUCCGUGGGUGGGUUGGAGAAGUGUGCCUCCUGCCACACCCGAGAGUGGGAGAGAAGCAGCGACUCGCGGUCCGCAGAGGGGCUGGCGCCGGGCCACACAUCAUCCGUCAGCACAGCAUGCCGCGCGAGAGAAAAGGGGCGCGCGCGUGUGCGUGUGUUUCAUCGAGUGCGUGCGUUUGCCGGGAGUCGAACCCGGGUCCAUUGCUUGGAAGGCAAUUAUCCUAACCGUUGGACUACAAACGCCCGGCGGCCGCGAACCGAGACCACGCACCACGGGCCCACGGCCGCGAACCGAGACCACGCACCACGGGCCCACGGCCGCUUCCACUCGCACGGCUGCGCGCUCACGGCGUCGUCUACCACCUGGCUCAUCUCGACGGGCCCUCCCGUUGGCGGCAUCUCGUGCACCGACUCAACACCGCAAAAAGUCCACGCCUCAGCGUCAAGAGAGAGGUGCACACUUACUUACUCGCGCUGAGUUUGCGCAUCCCUCCCCGUUCGGGCACCUCGCCGAACUCCGUCGGUCCUGCCGGCACCGAGUUGUGUCCCACCUGCACUCCGAGGCUCCGGGCAGUGCGCCAGCCACGGUCCCCUCCCCGACGCAACCACAAAUCCGAGGCGAGAGCGACACGACACAAGGCUGGCACACUUCGAGCCAUCCUGUUUGGGGUUUUGUGCGUUGUGAGGUCUCGGCCUACGCCAGACCUUCCAGAAAUUCUGGGGCGCCCUUGCGGGCACCGCAGGGGGGUUGGAAAUAGUUUUCAACCAGCAAUUGACGCGUCUCGGGUUUGCCUCACUAACUGCGUCAUUGCCCCAAGCGCAAAGAUACCGUCCUCCUUCCCGCCUCCCCCCGAAUGUACCUCCCUCGGGGGCUCGUCUCCUCCCAUCGCUAUGGGGCAAUCUGCCCCGACCCACCACCAAAUCGUCACCAGGCGCCGCUGCCGGGGGCGACACACCGUGCCGGCCAUCGCGUGCAUCCCUUUCGCCGCACCACCAGGCUGUGCGCUGGGCCGUGCCUCAGUCAGAGAUUGCGUUCUCAUCGGCACAGUCAGAGACCGGGGUCAAACGUGCACCUCGCAAAAAUCCAACGCCCAUCGCCCCCCUCCUCCCUCGCGCAGGGAGGAGGUAGUGGCCCGAUCCGACUCGGGUGUGUGAUCGCCGUUCUUCCCCCCCGUGCGGGAGCAACGCUCACUGCCACAGCAGCUGCCCCGAGUGUUCACUGGACCAUCGAUCGGGAGGGCGGCGCAAGACUUUUGUCCAGGCGCAGGUGCGCGUGGUGCGAAUGUAUGCAGCAGCCGGCAGGUAAUGCCGAUGUAUGCAGCAGACCUCAGAUAAUGCGGGGGGUUUCUGGGAA
rnacentral:lncRNA from 1 species